GCUGAUGAAACGAACCUCAGACGAUUAGGGCUAGUGGUCGUCAUAAUUCAGAGAUUGAGAAUUCAGAACGAAAACGAUGUUGAUAGUUGACGGAUAGUCAUGAGGCUGGACGCAAAAGGAAACGUCACAAAAACAAGUGUUAGAGGUAGCAAAGCGAUGGGAAAAUCAAACGUUUUCCAAACAAGACUAAGAAUUCCCUAAGCAAAAAAUCUUCGAACGCCGUGGAUUGUUCGAUUCUAUAGCUGAAUCGACGUGACAAAUUAGCGGGCUGAUGCUGUGCCCUUUAAGAGCCAAGAAGAAGUUUUGCAGAACGAUCAUGGCCAAAAAAAAGCAUCCAUCGGCUCGACGUCGACUUCAGUACUCGGCCUAAGCAACGCUUUCGAAGACCAUUACAUCUAUUUACCAAGAGGAAUUUUUGAGAAACCUAACAAAGGUAAAAUGUUACCCAUGAUUGACCUUACCAGAGCAUGGUUCCAACUAAAAGCGGUAACAAGUGGCCAACAUUUGUUACUGUCAAUAUAUAUAAAUAUAAACAGACCUCCUUCGUAUAUGACAGCUUUUAGAAGAGGCACAAGAUUAUUUCUUCGGGAUUUGACUCGAAAGGUUUGCCCCUAAUUCACAAUUCCGUCGAAUGACAUAACCGUCGUUCCGGAAGAAACGCAGCAAGAUUCAAGGCUUGUUAUGACAAAUCUGAAUGGUGACACCGAGUCCCGAACUUGUACUCCUGCAACACUAAAAUACCCGACCUGUCAAACUGCCAUUGGGACACACCCAAAACAACCCACAGUCGAUUUAUGUUACAAAAACGUUAAUCGUUUUGUCUUUAAGGGUGGAACGUCGUGUAAGCAUAUACAAUUCCUCGAGGAUUUCUGUCUAAAAUAUGGGCAGGACAUCUAUACCUUUAAUAUGCCCCCUUUUCCCUUUGGAGAUAUCGUUGAUUCCAUCUAUAUUAUAGUAACCAAUUUUAGCAAAAUAUCUUUCUUAUUUUAAUGUUACGUUUUCUUCGUGUGGGGUCAGUUGUUCGUUACAUUGACUACUACCAGCUUUUUCCAUUUCGGCUGCGUUAUUGUUGACGAGUAUACGAUACACUAAGAAGGCGGGAGUACGUUUGCUGUAUCAUAUCUGCGCUUGAAUUAGCUAUAUAUAUAUAUAUAUAUAAUAUAUAUAUAUCUUUAAACGUAUUAUAAAAUAGGAACAGAGAGUGCUGUCCUAGCAGGCUAGUAAAUUCUAGAGUGAAAGAACAUGCUGGCGUGACAAAAGUGAGCAAAAGUCAAUUGAUAG